rnacentral:lncRNA from 1 species
GUUCAUGAUCAUAGCACCAAAGAGUCAGAGAGGUCAUGGAAAAAGAGCCUCAAAAGAUAACACAGCCCAGCACCCUGCUCAGAGGCAGGUUACAGCACAUCAUACGUGCCAUUCUUCUGUCUGUUAUCCUGGCUGGAAGACAGGCCACGGCCAUAAUAUAGUCCCAGUACGGAAAGAAAAGACCACGGGCAGUGGGAGACCUUUUGGGCCUGAUACUGCCACGCGUUGCUGGCGACACAGGAUAGGAGAAGUCUCCUGACCACAGUCUAGCGAGCUGCCACAAACUACAACAUCACAUGAGUCUCCGCUGAUCAAGAUCUCAGAAGCAGUUCACGCCUUGCCUUCUUCUUCUCAGAAGAAGUUCACGCUUCUCUGAAGAGACACUGGGCCAAGGACCUUGCAGUUUGGACUUUCUCCUAAGCCCUAGGGUAAUGUAGUCAUGUGCUCCAAUACCUGUCAAAAUGCCCUGAACAGUUACUGAUUUUCAGAAAGUGAAUUCAGCUAGCAAAGUCUCCAUGCAAGCAAAAUAUACUCAAGGAAGGAACGCAUUUCUUACCUAUUUGCUCCUUUCCCAUAGCCAGGCGGGUCUGUGGCUCAGCCGAGCCGUUUACGUAGCUCUACAAACCCGUGGGGUUGUUAUCUGGUCGCUGCACCUUUCUGAUCUGCAAACAGCCCGUCAUGCUGACUGAUCAGCCAUCGGUGAGACGUCAGCUGGAGUGGAAACCCAGCCGGGGAGCAGAGCGCCGCUGACUUGAAUCAUUUGUUGCUACAUCCUUGCUGCUUAGAUCUAGCCCACUAAAGUCCACAUUUAUUUGACUUGGGGCUACACUAGGCUCCUGAGCCCUGAAAUGCACGCUGUGUCUGGUGCAUGUCGGGUACCGUCUGCACGAGGCCUGCUGCCACAUGCAGCCCCAAGUGGCAUGGGGGAAAGAGCUACUACAAGCCAACCAAUUUCCCUUCUGCAUGUUUAUUACCCAGGUGUCCGUGACCAUCAUGUCUCAAACGCAGCAUCCUUCAUCUCCAACCUCUUGCCAGUGGGAUCCACGAGGGCAGAUUUUCCCAGCUGCACAGGAAACCUGCAGGACCGAUUCCCUGCUGACCUCAACUCUUCUGCUCUCAGUGAGGUUGAACUUGACCUAGAAAAGUAGUUUCUGUUGUUGGGUUCGUGGGAGGAUGUUUUGUUUGUCAUGUCUGUGGUUUAGCUGCAAAAAUAAAGCUGUUGCAAAAUUCCUGGCUAGUCUUUCG